UACAGAGGUCUCAAGCGUUGUUCGGAUUCAUUGGGCGUAAAGGGUGCGUAGGCGGCGCGGUAAGUCGGGGUGUGAAAUCUCGGAGCUUAACUCCGAAACUGCAUUCGAUACUGCCGUGCUUGAGGACUGGAGAGGAGACUGGAAUUUACGGUGUAGCGGUGAAAUGCGUAGAUAUCGUAAGGGAAGACCAGUGGCGAAGGCGGGUCUCUGGACAGUUCCUGACGCUGAGGCACGAAGGCCAGGGGAGCAAACGGG
rnacentral:rRNA from 1 species